GACGAACGCUGGCGGCAGGCUUAACACAUGCAAGUCGAGCGCCCCGCAAGGGGAGCGGCAGACGGGUGAGUAACGCGUGGGAAUCUACCCAUCUCUACGGAAUAACGCAUGGAAACGUGUGCUAAUACCGUAUACGUCCUUCGGGAGAAAGAUUUAUCGGAGAUGGAUGAGCCCGCGUUGGAUUAGCUAGUUGGUGGGGUAAAGGCCUACCAAGGCGACGAUCCAUAGCUGGUCUGAGAGGAUGAUCAGCCACACUGGGACUGAGACACGGCCCAGACUCCUACGGGAGGCAGCAGUGGGGAAUAUUGGACAAUGGGCGCAAGCCUGAUCCAGCCAUGCCGCGUGAGUCAUGAAGGCCCUAGGGUUGUAAAGCUCUUUCACCGGUGAAGAUAAUGACGGUAACCGGAGAAGAAGCCCCGGCUAACUUCGUGCCAGCCGCCGCAGUAAGAC
rnacentral:rRNA from 1 species